rnacentral:tRNA from 1 species
AAGGUCCUAGCUUAAUAAGAGCAUCUGAGUUGCAUUCAGAGGGUGCAGGUUAGUAUCUUGCGGGCCUUA